GCCGCCUCCUCAAUCGCCUCUCGAUUCCACACGCUACUCAGCCGGAAUGAGUCUUGUUGUUAUGCUUAGUAAGUAUUCGGUGGAUCAGUCGGCGGCUGAGAGGUUGAAGAAGAUCUGUUCUGGUUGAUGCCCGCUAUGUUAGAAGCCUUCAUAUUUCAUUUGCAGCUUCUAAUAGUCUCCUUACAUGCUUAAUCUGGGUAAUUUUCUAUCAUUUAUUGAUGUUAUCUUAAUUUUCCAUGAAUGAACACAUUCUGUAUUCAGUCUUUUUCUCACAAUGGCUGCUUACUCGUUUUCAGAUAAAUUCAUCUCUUGAACAUAAUUUUCUUGAAUGCUUGACAUUUUACCUUUAAAUUAUAACUGAUCUUAUAACCAUCUAGUGGAAACUUUCUGUUCAUUUCAUGGGCUAUUAUAUGAUCACAUAAUACUGUGGACAUUUCUCCACUUCAGCCAUCCUGCCUUUUGUAAUGGGAGAUGGGUUUUCUCACUCAAGUUGCUAGCACUACUGCCAUACACAGUCCUUAAUCACCACAUUAUAACUGCUAAAUACUCAAUUUCUUUUGAUAAAGUACUUGCUUCUUUUGACACAACAUGUAAUCUCUAAGGAUCUCAUCCUUUUAUAUAAGCACUAGCCUAUGUGUAUUGAUAUCCAUGAGUUACAAAUGAAGAGUUGGCUUUUCUAUUUCAUGAAACUAGCUAGUUGGCGUUA